rnacentral:rRNA from 1 species
CAACUUGAGAGUUUGAUCCUGGCUCAGAACGAACGCUGGCGGCAUGCUUAACACAUGCAAGUCGAACGAGGGCCCGGAGCUUGCUCCGGUCACCCUAGUGGCGGACGGGUGAGUAACGCGUGGGAACCUGCCCUGGAGUGGGGAACAACCACUGGAAACGGUGGCUAAUACCGCAUACGUCCUCCGGGAGAAAGGCUUCGGCCGCUCUUGGAUGGUCCCGCGUCCGAUUAGCUUGUUGGUGAGGUAACGGCUCACCAAGGCGACGAUCGGUAGCUGGUCUGAGAGGAUGAUCAGCCACACUGGGACUGAGACACGGCCCAGACUCCUA